UAAGCCUUUGAGUAAUAGCUUUGUGUAUUGGUCUCCUUCAUCCUCUCAUCGCCAUUCCAACCUUUUUCCCAGCUUCUCUUGCUCCACUCAGAUAACUCUCACAACCCUAUAGUUGUAAGAGAGCACAACCCCCGAUCCCCCCUGAACCAUGCUAGCAAGUCGGAUUCAUGCCCAAGUAUUAUGAGUUACUUAAUUGAUAGUUGGAUUUCAUGUGAUUAUUUAGCAAGUUAGUCAAUCAACUAAUGAAGUUAGUUGGAUUUUGAGAAAUCAAGGCUUGGAAAGAAAGAGGAAGACUCCCUUGGAGGAGGUUGAGCUUUAAAGAGAAGAUCAAGGACGAAUUCACCUCUUACAAAUUGAGUUUGAUUCUCUUUUACCAUUUUUCAUGAUGUAUUUAUACUUUAAACCUUUGAUUUGCAUGGAUAGUGAUACUAUGAUGGGGUGAGUAGUUUCUAGUUAGGGUUAGGCUUCCUUUAUGCUAAUCCUUCUUUGGAUCUUCAUGUGUGGAUGAAUGUUAAUAAGUUUGAGCAAUUAAAUUUCAUGUUUGAAUGAGUUUGUGAUAUUGAAUGAAUUAAUCUACACUUA